GUAGGUGGCAAGCGUUGUCCGGAAUUAUUGGGCGUAAAGCGCGCGUAGGCGGUUUUUUAAGGUCUGAUGUGAAAGCCCACGGGCUCAACCGUGGAGGGUCAUUGGAAACUGGAGAACUUGAGUACAGAAGAGGAAAGCGGAAUUCCACGUGUAGCGGUGAAAUGCGUAGAGAUGUGGAGGAACACCAGUGGCGAAGGCGGCUUUCUGGUCUGUAACUGACGCUGAGGCGCGAAAGCGUGGGGAGCAAACAGGAUUAGAUACCCUGGUAGUCCACGCCGUAAACGAUGAGUGCUAAGUGUUAGGGGGUUUCCGCCCCUUAGUGCUGCAGCUAACGCAUUAAGCACUCCGCCUGGGGAGUACGGCCGCAAAGGCUG
rnacentral:rRNA from 1 species